rnacentral:rRNA from 1 species
UCGAGCGGACAGAAGGGAGCUUGCUCCCGGAUGUUAGCGGCGGACGGGUGAGUAACACGUGGGUAACCUGCCUGUAAGACUGGGAUAACUCCAGGAAACCGGAGCUAAUACCGGAUAGUUCCUUGAACCGCAUGGUUCAAGGAUGAAAGACGGUUUCGGCUGUCACUUACAGAUGGACCCGCGGCGCAUUAGCUAGUUGGUGAGGUAACGGCUCACCAAGGCGACGAUGCGUAGCCGACCUGAGAGGGUGAUCGGCCACACUGGGACUGAGACACGGCCCAGACUCCUACGGGAGGCAGCAGUAGGGAAUCUUCCGCAAUGGACGAAAGUCUGACGGAGCAACGCCGCGUGAGUGAUGAAGGUUUUCGGAUCGUAAAGCUCUGUUGUUAGGGAAGAACAAGUGCAAGAGUAACUGCUUGCACCUUGACGGUACCUAACCAGAAAGCCACGGCUAACUACGUGCCAGCAGCCGCGGUAAUACGUAGGUGGCAAGCGUUGUCCGGAAUUAUUGGGCGUAAA